CCUCCUUCAUCCCUCCUCUCUCUCUCUCUCUCUCGUCUCUUUCUUUUCUCACCACCACGUUCCCCUCCACUCCCCUGCCGUCCCACACCUCUGUCCUUUGUCCCCCACACCUCACGUUCUUCUCCACCAUCACUAUCCUAACGCUCUCUCCGCACCCGACAAACCUCCCCUUUCCCAUACUCCUCUCUGUCACUUUCUGUCCACUCAUGUUUCCCCCCACUUCGACUUCUAUCUUCAUGCUUCUGUCAGCUCUGUCCCCUCCGCGCUCUCUUUCUUUUUAUUAAACCCUAAUCGUAACUUUAUAAGGGGGGGGGGGGGAGGAGGAGAACUCGUUUGGGGGGACGAAAUCGUUGUUGGAGAAAGAGGAUUAGGAGUAUUUAGAGGAUCUGAUUUGAGUUUGUUUUGAAAAAAAAAAGAAAGGAGGGAGGGCUGUUUGAAGACGAGUAUUUUUUAUUUUGAUUUUGUUUUAUCUGGUUUGGAACUCUUCAAAUCAGGAAAACAUUUCUAUUGAAAUAGGAAUUUGUGAUGAAAGGUUAAGUUUCGACGAUUCGAUUAACCCUCGUCGUUGUUCGGCAAAAGAAUUUUAAACAGAAUCAUUUUUAUUUUUUGAGUCGAAUUUUGAAUCGGUUCAUAACGAGAGUAGAUUCGUGAUCGUCGAUACCCACUUCACUGCACACAAAACAGCCCAACAUGACCUCUUCGUGUCCAGCCUCGUCUGCGGCCAGAAUAGAAAAUAAAUUUCUGGGCCAAAUCCCAAUAGGCAGGAAUAGCGUUCACCAGCAAAACAGACUGUAGCAGCAGUCCAUGAAAAAAUGGAUUAAUCCCAUUUAAUUUUA